ACUUUUCUGGAAGUAUUUCUUUUUGUUGACUGCUAAGAAUUUACACAUUUAAAAUGGAUUAUUAGCAUGAAUUAUGUCAUUGGUUUUCUUACAAAACAUUGACAAUUUUUUUCGCGUUGUUUGCGGAGCUCUCUUAUCUCAAACCUUUUGGUGCUGUCGAUCUCUGUUUCUUCUCACUGUGUUAAUUCAUCAUUGUUACUGUCUGGUUUUAAACUUGUCUGUUUUGCUGCUUUAGUCUGUCUAAAGGCAUAUGAGUGCGCAAUUUGUUGGACUAGAAAAAUUGGAUAGUAUAUUGGAAGCCCGAUGUACGUACAAGUUCAAUACUACUUUCCUUGUGACUUGGGUUGUGACUUGGGGCUGUUGUUACACUUUGGAUAACUUGUCUGUCAGGAACAGUUGCUGAUUAUAUUGCAUUCUUUGUUGUCGUGAUUGUUCAAGUCGUCUCAGAUGAUCAGCUUUUGCUCCUACUCUCUUACUGCAAGUCUUAUUUUUCUUUCUUGGUUGCUCUUCUAGUUCAGUGAUUGUUGUAUCACUUAUUAUAUCUUCUCUCACUCUUUUAGCUGCUUGUAUACUCAUUUAGCUGCUUGUACACUAGCUGUCAUGAUGUUCUUUUUGCUUGUCUUUUUUUGUAGAUCUGGUAGAAGCAAUAAGCCUUCUGUUGACUGGGGAAUUUUCUGCCUCAUUGCCUCAGCAGAUUUGUCACAGCAACCUCGCACAAUUCCCACUAGCCUAGCCUUUCGAACUCCUCGUGUGUAAAACUGAGAACGAAAAAUAUGAUCGUUGCUACCGUCAAACACAACACGGGAGUUUCGUCACUUCUGGAUCACCAACUAAUGAAGAAUUCGGUGAUGCUAACUCUGUUUCUCAUGUCACGGAGUAUGCAGUGAAUUUACAGUCUAGAACAACACACAUGCUGACCACUCUCUGUGUCCAGUGGGAAAAUAACGACUGCUGUUGCACGUACAAGAUGAAGAUCAUCUGUUACAAGUCAGAAAUUCAGACUUGAUUGUAUUGGACUUGCAUUUCAGGUAAUUGUUCAUGAUUAUAUAUAUGGAUAUCAACUCAUAUGGAAUAUUUAAUAAUAGUGAAAAAUAUUUACC